ACAGUGAACCAACAGGGGAGCAUAUGAAAUUUGAGGAGGUGUUGGGUGGCUUUCGGAAUAGCUAGUUGCUUCUGGUGGAGUAGAGGAUUGGUGACAUUAGGGUUGAGGUUGUCUGGAGGAGUUCCAGUCGCUAGUCCCCUGCAGAUCGCAAGGAUAUUUUUAUUGGGUCUUUUGGUUUUAUUUCUUAUUGCACUAUCUGGACUUGUACUAGUUUUGCUUUAUGGAUAUUGUAUG